AUGUGCAGAUUGCAAGGUUGGGCCGACCUCCCGGAGGGUCUUUUGGGAUCCAUCAUUGCUCGGCUUGGCCUGGUCUCGUUCUCUGAUCUUGUUGCCUUUUCUCCAUCUUGUCGCUCUUGGCAUGCCGCCUUCUCCACCUUCAUACAACUGCUCCCACCUCUCCUUCUCCGGCCUAAUCUCCCUAUAUGCUUUCCUCCUCGUCCUCACGUGACCAACAACCUGGUACAAACACGGCCAUGCCAUGCCACUAAUUUAGCAAACCAAGACACCUAUCAUUGCUGUCAGAUUCCCCAACAUAGUUUUGGUGAAAACAAUGCCCCACUAAGUCCUCUAGAAUGGUUUUGCUUCAAUGGUGUUGCCUAUGGUCAUCCCAUUUUCUCAAGAGAUAAAUCAUGCCUCGUUGUUGAUGUGUUCAUAGGUGUUAGUUUCUCAUCCCCACAACUAUUGGUCAUUAAGGACAUCGGGAUCUUCUAUCCUGCCCUCGCUGCUCUUCUAGCAUCACCUAACUCACAUAUCGUUGUUGAUAUCGGAUCACACAAUUUGUUUUGGCGUGUUGGUAGUCAAUAUUGGGUGGGACGUUCUCCUGAUGAUGGACCAAUCAAGCAAAUUGUGGUCUUCAAAGGGCGUGUUUUUAGCAUCGAUUCGGAUCUCAAACUCUUCAAAGUGCAGUUGAGACCCCAGGUUUGCAUACAGGAAAUACCAGCUAUGGAGUCGAGCAUGAUUAAAAAAUGGCAUCAUUCUAAUGGAUGGCUGGUGAUUUGCGGUGAUAUGCUUCUCUUGGUGGCCUUAUGGGGACCUAUUAUAGUAACAGGGGCAACCUUCGAAAUCUUCCGCCUUGACCUAUCGACUGAACCUGCAUCAUGGAUGAAGGUGGAGAAGCUAGAGAAUUGGGUGAUAUUCAUUAGCACCGACAAGAGAAGUCAGGGAUUGUCUUGAAUGAACCCAGAGAUAUAGGGAGGGAGGAGCAACUGCAUAUAUUGCUAUAAUCAUGAAUCUAAACAUCCGUGGCAGAAGCAGUUGGGCAAGCCACUACAGGGAGAUGGCUCCACCUCGACAUUCAAUCCAAACGUCUUCAUAUUCACCGGCAGUAGGGUGCAACCUAUGUGGGUUGUCCCUUGCGUGCUCUCCUUGUGUCGGUGA
rnacentral:rRNA from 1 species